UGCCAGCCGCCGCGGUAAUACGUAGGGAGCAAGCGUUGUCCGGAUUUACUGGGUGUAAAGGGAGCGCAGGCGGGUUGGUAAGUCAGAGGUGAAAUCUCACAGCUUGACUGUGAAACUGCCUUUGAUACUGCUAAUCUUGAGUUAAGGAGAGAGAGACGGAAUUCCAGGUGUAGUGGUGAAAUACGUAGAUAUCUGGAAGAACACCAGUGGCGAAGGCGGUCUCUUGGCCUUAUACUGACGCUGAGGCUCGAAAGCGUGGGGAGCGAACAGGAUUAGAUA
rnacentral:rRNA from 1 species